CACGUAGUUAGCCGGAGCUUACUUUACAGGUACUGUCAUUUUUUCUUCCCUGUCUACAAUAGUUUACAAUCCGAAAACCUUCUUCCUAUACGCGGCGUCACUGCGUCAGAGUUUCCUCCAUUGCGCAAUAUUCCCGACUGCUGCCUCCCGUAGGAGUCUGGGCCGUAUCUCAGUCCCAAUGUGGCCGUUUAACCUCUCAGUUCGGCUACUGAUCGUCGUCUUGGUAAGCCUUUACCCCACCAACUAACUAAUCAGUCGCAAGUUCAUCUAUUAGCGGAUUUCUCCUUUCCCAUUUGUAUCAUGCGAUUCUCAUGGCAUAUGCGGUAUUAGCACUGAUUUCUCAGUGUUAUUCCCCUCUAAUAGGCAGAUUACUUACGUGUUACUCACCAGUCCGCCACUAACCUCUUCUAAAUGUAAACAUUCAAAUUCAGUUCGUUCGACUUGCAUGUCUUAUGUGCGCCGCCAGCGUUUUAUCCUGAGCCAGGAUCAAACUCU
rnacentral:rRNA from 1 species